AGCGAACGCUGGCGGCAGGCCUAACACAUGCAAGUCGAACGAACCCUUCGGGGUUAGUAGCGGACGGGUGAGUAACACGUGGGAACGUGCCUUUAGGUUCGGAAUAACUCAGGGAAACUUGUCCUAAUACCGAAUGUGCCCUCCGGGGGAUAGAUUUAUCGCCUUUAGAGCGGCCCGCGUCUGAUUAGCUAGUUGGUGAGGUAAUGGCUCACCAAGGCUACGAUCAGUAGCUUGUCUGAGAGGAUGACCAGCCACAUUGGGACUGAGACACGGCCCAAACUCCUACGGGAGGCAGCAGUGGGGAAUCUUGCGCAAUGGGCGAAAGCCUGACGAAGCCAUGCCGCGUGGAUGAUGAAGGUCUUAGGAUUGUAAAAUCCUUUCACCGGUGAAGAUAAUGACUGUAGCCGGAGAAGAAGCCCCGGCUAACUUCGUGCCAGCAGCCGCCGCCGUAA
rnacentral:rRNA from 1 species